rnacentral:misc_RNA from 1 species
GAAAUGCGAUAAGUAAUGUGAAUUGCAGAAUUCAGUGAAUCAUCGAAUCUUUGAACGCACAUUGCGCCCCCUGGUAUUCCGGGGGGCAUGCCUGUUCGAGCGUCAUUUCACCACUCAAGCCUCGCUUGGUAUUGGGCGACGCGGUCCGCCGCGCGCCUCAAAUCGACCGGCUGGGUCUUCCGUCCCCUCAGCGUUGUGAAACUAUUCGCUAAAGGGUGCCGCGGGAGGUCACGCCGCAAAACAACCCCAUUUCUAAGGUUGACCUCGGAUCAGGUAGGGAUACCCGCUGAACUUAAGC